UACGUAGGGUGCAAGCGUUAAUCGGAAUUACUGGGCGCAAAGCGUGCGCAGGCGGUUUGUUAAGUCCGUUGUGAAAGCCCCGAGCUCAACUUGGGAAUUGCAGUGGAUACUGGCAGGCUGGAGUACGGUAGAGGAAGGUGGAAUUCCCGGUGUAGCAGUGAAAUGCGUAGAUAUCGGGAGGAACACCAGUGGCGAAGGCGGCCUUCUGGACCAGUACUGACGCUCAUGCACGAAAGCGUGGGGAGCAAACAGG
rnacentral:rRNA from 1 species